UACGUAGGGGGCUAGCGUUGUCCGAAAUUAUUGGGCGUAAAGAACUCGUAGGCGGUUCGUCGCGUCGGCUGUGAAAUCCCGAGGCUCAACCUCGGGUCUGCAGUCGAUACGGGCGGACUGGAGUUCGGCAGGGGAGACUGGAAUUCCUGGUGUAGCGGUGAAAUGCGUAGAUAUCCGGAGGAACACCGGUGGCGAAGGCGGCUUCCUGGACCGAUACUGACGCUGAGGCGCGAAAGCUAGGGGAGCAAACGGG
rnacentral:rRNA from 1 species